rnacentral:lncRNA from 1 species
UGUGAAUGUCUAUAGACUAACUAUGUGCAAGAUAAAUUGGAGAUAAUCACCGGAGGAAAGGCAUUAGAGUUAGGAGGGAUCAGGAAUGGGUUUCUGUUGAAGGGAGGAAUUUAGUUGGGACAUAAUGGCAGCCAAGAAAGCCAGGAAGCAGAGAUGAGGAGGGGAAGUUGAGUAUUCCAGAAAUGGUGGACUACCAGCGGGAAAUGCCUGGAGGUAUGCCAAUGGAAUGCGUCUAAGGACUGUCCAAACCAAGAUUCAUCCAUCACUGAAGUCUGUUAGCAUGGUUUUAUAGUAAGAUCGAUCAAUAAUUUCAGAUCAUGUCUUCUGCGUUCUAUUUGGACAGAUGGGCUGUUAAUAUUAACAUCAUUCUCAUUAGCAAUUAAAGAUAGCGUGGUGUAAUAAAAUGAAUGCUGAAACUAGAGUCA